rnacentral:rRNA from 1 species
GAGUUUGAUCAUGGCUCAGAUUGAACGCUGGCGGUAUGCAUAACACAUGCAAGUCGAACGGUAGCAGGCUCGGGAAACCGAGUGCUGACGAGUGGCGGACGGGUGAGUAAUGCGUAGGGAUUUGCCUAGUAGAGGGGGAUAACCUGGGGAAACUCAGGCUAAUACCGCAUAUGCCUAAGGGUGAAAGAGGGGGACCGUAAAAGGCCUCUUGCUACUGGAUGAACCUGCGUAGGAUUAGCUAGUUGGUAGGGUAAAGGCCUACCAAGGCGAAGAUCCUUAACUGGUCUGAGAGGACGACCAGUCACACUGGGACUGAGACACGGCCCAGACUCCUACGGGAGGCAGCAGUGGGGAAUAUUGGACAAUGGGCGCAAGCCUGAUCCAGCAAUACCGCGUGUGUGAAGACGGCCUUCGGGUUGUUAAGCACUUUCAGGGGGGAAGAAGGGGUAAGUACUAAUACUACUUAUCAUUGACGUUACCCUC